rnacentral:rRNA from 1 species
GUGCCAGCAGCCGCGGUAAGACGGAGGGUGCAAGCGUUGUUCGGAUUGACUGGGCGUAAAGGGCGUGUAGGCGGUUGGUCAAGUCGGGUGUGAAAGCCUGGGGCUCAGCCUCAGAAGUGCAUCCGAAACUAGCCAGCUAGAGCGCGAUAGAGGAGGGUGGAAUUCCUGGUGUAGCGGUGAAAUGCGUAGAUAUCAGGAGGAACACCGGCGGCGAAGGCGGCCCUCUGGCUCGUUGCUGACGCUGAGACGCGAAAGCGUGGGGAGCAAACAGGAUUAGAAACCCCUGUAGUCC